rnacentral:lncRNA from 1 species
GUUAGGUACCCAAGUCUUUGCUUUUUGUAUUUAACACUGUAUUUAACAACAUUGAAUCUGAAACCAGAAUCCUGCCACCUACUGCUCAUGGAAAUUCCAGAUGUGUUGCGUGCACGGCGGUCUCAACCCUAAAAACCUUAAAAACCUCAAAAACCUCAUCAAAGCUCUCCGGGACUGGUCAGCUCUGCACAGGCUGGAAAAAAUAUCUGUGAGCCAUCUCAAUUGCCCUACUGGGACCUUGAGCUGAUGUAACGAUGUCUGUGGCAGUGCUGGCUUUCUUGGAGAACAAAGUGCUGUUUCCUUUUGUGUGCUGAACAAACAAACAGUGUGUGGGAAUUGGUCCCUACAGAAAUACUUUUUUUUUUUUUAAAUAUCCAAGUAACUUUUUUUCAGAACACUGACCUGUUUAUUGCUUGGGAAUGCCUGUGACUGCCUUCUGAAACUCAAAAGCUGCAGAGGUGUCCAUGGCAAGAAUAGAAGACUAUUGCAAUAAUACUAGGGAUGGUUCUGCAGUUAAAAUUAAGCACAGAAGUGUCUGAAAACUGUCAGUCUGCCUAGUGCCAGAAUUCAUUAUGAAUUUGGUUUUUAAUAUAGUUUAGGCUAGAAAUCAUCCUAAUUAUCUUUUCUCCUUUAAUUAAAUAAGAAGUCUGCCAUUAGCCUCUGCUUCCCAUAACUCAUGUUUUGGAUUGAGCUUCUCAUGCCUGGGAAAUGGGAGAACUGGAGAGAAACUGGGGAGAGAGACAAAGACAAGACUCUGAAGGCAGGCUGUCACGCAGGAACCAGGAGAAGGUAUAUUCUGUCCCUCCCAUCCUGUGGGGAUCCCAGAUGGCUGCUGUGUCAGCUGAAGUCACUCUCUGCUCUGUAACCUCUUCCUGAAGACUAGAGGAUACAGGUUCAACAGCCGGAAGCCUUCUGGGAAACUGCUUGAGAAUCAGCAGGUACCCAGGAGGUGCAAGAGGCUUUUCUUUGUAUUUAAAGUAAUACAUUUAAAGUGUAAAGUUUUCUAUCUUCCUCUAAAUUAAAGCCACUUUCUGUUUAAACAUUUACAACUCUUUCGAGCACAUACCUCUGCCACAUACAAAUGCAUUUGUCCUAGAAAUCCUUGGAAAUACAGAAUAGUCUGUGUUUUCCAUAAGCCUUCAGAAAAUCAACUGUUCCAAGGGCUUAACGCUGGAGUAAUUUAACAGCCGUGUUGCAAAAAUGGCAAGGUAAGCAGCCCAGCAGAAGAUACAGUAGCCAAAACUCUUAUCUCAGGACCCAUUGCUCAGAGAAUUGCAUCAACUUCCCCCGGUAAAUAAUGAGUCUUAUUUAUAAAUUCAC